UACGAAGGGGGCUAGCGUUGCUCGGAAUCACGUGGGCGUAAAGGGUGGCGUUAGGCGGGUCUUUAAGUCAGGGGUUGAAAUCCUGGAAGCUCAACUCCAGAACUGCCUUUGAUACUGAAGAUCUUGAGUCGGGAGAGGUGAGUGGAACUGCGAGUGUAGAGGUGAAAUUCGUAGAUAUUCGCAAGAACACCAGUGGCGAAAGGCGGCAUCCUGGACCAACACUGACGCUGAGGAGCGAAAGCGUGG
rnacentral:rRNA from 1 species